GCGCCCGUAGCUCAGUCGGAUAGAGCACCAGAUUCCUAAUCUGGGGGUCGUGGGUUCGAAUCCCGCCGGGCGCACCA
rnacentral:tRNA from 1 species